rnacentral:misc_RNA from 1 species
GUAUUACUAACCAUAGUAGGACCUCUAUACGUUACCAAAUUAGACCUCACAACAACCCUCACAUUCCCCACCUCCUUAAAAAGCUUCUCGCUUCUCACCCACAUCACUAGGUCCAACCUCUCCUCCGCCGUCGCUUCCAAGUCCAAAUGCACCGCAUACUGAUUCCUCGGAUGAUACAACGCUUUCAGUGUCCUCUUCGCGCUCACUCCAUCCCCAGCAGAUCCAGAUAUCAAAUACGCAAGCCGAGGUAACCUUCUUGGUGAAACCACAGGUUUAGGCAACUUAAAUUCCACAAAAUGCGGAAACUGAGGACGGAAAUUAUUAGUGUUUCCAAGCUGGCGAAGAAACAGCAACUGGGUAGAAGCGGACGAAAAAGUAAUGGUAAUGAGAAUCAAAAGAGUAGAGAAUAAGAGCGAAAAAACAAACAGAAGGAACCAUUUGCGCUUCUUCUGCAACUUAUUGGCUGUGUUGCUGGUUUCCAUGAAGAUGAACCCAAGAAAGCGUGUGAUAUUCUAAGAAUGUGAGAUGGGGAUCUGUGUCCACCGCCACCGUCGGUCACGGAAACCAAUCAAGAAUGAAGAUAAGAGCGUGUUGGAAU